rnacentral:rRNA from 1 species
UGGGGAAUUUUGGACAAUGGGCGCAAGCCUGAUCCAGCCAUGCCGCGUGCGGGAAGAAGGCCUUCGGGUUGUAAACCGCUUUUGUCAGGGAAGAAACGCUCUGGGCUAAUACCCCGGGGUAAUGACGGUACCUGAAGAAUAAGCACCGGCUAACUACGUGCCAGCAGCCGCGGUAAUACGUAGGGUGCAAGCGUUAAUCGGAAUUACUGGGCGUAAAGCGUGCGCAGGCGGUCUUGCAAGACAGAUGUGAAAUCCCCGGGCUUAACCUGGGAACUGGAUUUGUGACUGCAAGGCUGGAGUGCGGCAGAGGGGGAUGGAAUUCCGCGUGUAGCAGUGAAAUGCGUAGAUAUGCGGAGGAACACCGAUGGCGAAGGCAAUCCCCUGGGCCUGCACUGACGCUCAUGCACGAAAGCGUGGGGAGCAAACAGG